ACGUCUCGCUUCCGUCUGUUGCGAAGUAAACUCAAGAAUUUCUUCGACUCGAGCUCAUCUUCCGACAAACAUCGUUUCCCGCGAUGGAGUGGAAGAGAUUCCUGUCGAUUCCGAUAUUCGCCGUGUUUCUUCUGAUGGGUUUCGUCUAUUACGUCACCUUGUUCGUUUCCAUCGAAGAUUGGGUCGGUUUGCGGAGCUCGGACGGAUCGUUCCACGCCUUGGUCUUCAGUUUGUUGGCUUUCUACAGUGUUUUCGCGUUCUUCGUCUGCGUGCUCACCGACCCGGGACGCGUUCCUUCUUCUUACGUCCCUGAUGUCGAAGAUAGGGAGCUCUCAGAUCAAGAAUUCAGGAGAAAUGUUACGCAUCAAAGGAAAUGUGAGAUUUGCUCUACAUUCAAGCCUCAAAGAUGUCAUCAUUGCCGAACCUGCAGAAGGUGUGUUUUGAGGAUGGAUCAUCACUGUCAAUGGAUCAACAACUGUGUUGGUUACUGGAACUACAAGGCCUUUUUUAUACUUGUCUUCUUUGCUACUGUAGCAAGCAUCUAUUCAACGGUCAUCUUUAUAGCAUCUGUUCUCCAAAAGGACUGGGAAGUUUGGGGACAAUCUCACUCCAAGGGUCUUUAUGUUGCAUGUGGGGUACCUGUGCUUGGCCUGAGUAUGACACUGGGUUCUUUGUUGUGCUGGCAUAUCUACCUCAUGGCCAAUAACAUGACAACCAUAGAGUAUUAUGAAGGAGUACGAGCGCAAUGGCUGGCAAGAAAAUCUGGGCAGAGCUAUCGUCAUCCGUUCAACCUUGGUGUUUACAGAAACGUGACAUCGGUCCUUGGCCCAAACGUGCUAAAAUGGUUACUCCCAACAGCAGUAAGCCAUUUAAAGGAUGGUAUCAGCUUCCGCGUUGCACAUGAUAUGAAGCAGACAACAUGAAACAAGAUUAUCAGGUAACCUAUUCAAUUCUUCUUCCCUUCUGGAGUUGGAACAUUGUCGAAGAAUUGUGGCGGAAAGUGGAGUUCCAUGAGCUCAAACCUGUCUACUCGGAUGCAUACAAUCUUGCAGGAAGACUAGCAAUUAGAACGUUGAUAUGCACACGGAAUAGCAAUUCUUUGCUGUGUAAAAUGGUCGAAACAUGGCGCGUGCUGCUGCAGGGGAGAUAACUCUGGAGAUUCAAAUGCAUCUGUUCAAGCAAAGUACCAGAUUGCAAUGGAGCGAGACUCUUUCUUCUGAAUGGGGGAUGUCGCUCGUUCAAUUCCUUGAACUGGCACCAAAAUUUUUUAAUCAGUCUUUCCGGACAAGUUCAUGUGCCGAAACACCGGAAAUAGUCGGGCCACCUAAUUCUCAUACGUCAGUACGAGAUCGCGUGUUAUAAUCCUUCUACUAAAACAACAACUAAAUCUUCAUGUCAUUUUGAUUUAUAUUAGUCGAGGGUUCAUAUUUGGUU